rnacentral:rRNA from 1 species
UACAGAGGUCUCAAGCGUUGUUCGGAUUCAUUGGGCGUAAAGGGUGCGUAGGUGGCGCCGUAAGUCAGGUGUGAAAUUUCGGAGCUUAACUCCGAAACUGCAUUUGAUACUGCGGUGCUUGAGGACUGGAGAGGAGACUGGAAUUCACGGUGUAGCAGUGAAAUGCGUAGAUAUCGUGAGGAAGACCAGUGGCGAAGGCGGGUCUCUGGACAGUUCCUGACGCUGAGGCA